rnacentral:rRNA from 1 species
GACGAACGCUGGCGGCGUGCCUAAUACAUGCAAGUUGAGCGCUGAAGGUUGGUACUUGUACCAACUGGAUGAGCAGCGAACGGGUGAGUAACGCGUGGGGAAUCUGCCUUUGAGCGGGGGACAACAUUUGGAAACGAAUGCUAAUACCGCAUAAAAACUUUAAACACAAGUUUUAAGUUUGAAAGAUGCAAUUGCAUCACUCAAAGAUGAUCCCGCGUUGUAUUAGCUAGUUGGUGAGGUAAAGGCUCACCAAGGCGAUGAUACAUAGCCGACCUGAGAGGGUGAUCGGCCACAUUGGGACUGAGACACGGCUCAAACUCCUACGGGAGGCAGCAGUAGGGAAUCUUCGGCAAUGGACGAAAGUCUGACCAAGCAACGCCGCGUGAGUGAAGAAGGUUUUCGGAUCGUAAAACUCUGUUGGUAGAGAAGAACGUUGGUGAGAGUGGAAAGCUCAUCAAGUGACGGUAACUACCCAGAAAGGGACGGCUAACUACGUG